rnacentral:tRNA from 1 species
GGGGAUAUAACUCAGUUGGUAGAAUGUUUGCUUCACAUGCAUAAGGUCCUGGGUUCAAUCCCCAGCUCCA